UCGAGGAUCUUCGGCAAUGGGCGCAAGCCUGACCGAGCGACGCCGCGUGCGCGAUGAAGGCCUUCGGGUUGUAAAGCGCUGUCGAGGGGGAGGAAAGCCGCAAGGCCUGACCUAUCCCUGGAGGAAGGACGGGCUAAGUUCGUGCCAGCAGCCGCGGUAAGACGAACCGUCCUAACGUUGUUCGGAUUCACUGGGCUUAAAGGGCGCGUAGGCGGGCCAGAGGGUCCGGGGUGAAAUCUUUCGGCUUAACCGGAAAAGUGCCUCGGAAACCGCUGGCCUCGAGGGAGGUAGGGGCAUGUGGAACUUCUGGUGGAGCGGUGAAAUGCGUUGAUAUCAGAAGGAACGCCGGUGGCGAAAGCGACGUGCUGGAUCUCUUCUGACGCUGAGGCGCGAAAGCCAGGGGAGCAAACG
rnacentral:rRNA from 1 species